rnacentral:lncRNA from 10 species
AGACCCAGCCAGGCAAGCGCGGCCACAUAGGCAAGCGCGGCCACAUAGGCUAGACGCACUAUCUUCUCCUCUACCCCGCGCCGCCCUCCACCUCGGAGCGGGGACGUACGGUGGUGGCGGUGACACAAUGCGAGUGAGUGGAGCCUUUGGAAGGAAUUGGGCCAUGAGAAGAGCCCUCAUGAAUGGGAUUAGUUCCCUUAUAAGAAGAGACACCAAGGAAGUGAUCUUUCUCUGCCCUCUGCUAUGUGAAGACAAGGUCAUCUGCAGUUUUUUGUUGUUGUUGAUGAUCUUCCUGUCAUAGACAAUGCUGUAACAAACAGACUAGUAAGUAUACCUGUAUAAACUCCAGCAACUUUUUCUGUAAUGUUUCCUAGUUGAGAGGUUACUGGGCAAAAAGCAGACACGUAUAAAAUUCUACUAGAUAUUCUUAGAUUUUCUGUAAAGUUAGGACCAAGUUAAAUUUUUACAAGUAGUG